rnacentral:lncRNA from 1 species
CACAGUACCUGGCUUCUCCUUCCAUGGCAGGCUCCUCACAGACCUCUAGCUCCUUCUUUAUUAUCUCAGCUUCUGCGGAUUUUUCUUUCAGGGAAAAUCGGUUCAAGAUUUUGGGUAGCUUGUUGGAUGAAAAGGGCAUGGAUUCAGCAACUUGACAGCCAGGAGUAUGAGUUUGGAGUGGGGAUGAAGAAGGUUGCAGACAAAUCAGUGGUGUGCCAUAAGAUGAACUACCCAUAUGCUGUUUUCUACUGCCAUACCUUCACUAAGACACGGACUUACAUGAUUCCAUUGGUGGGUGUUGAUGGAAGCAAAUCUAAAGCCAUGGCAGCUUGUCACAGUGAUACAUCAGCUUGGCACCCACAGCAUGUGGCCUUCCAAGUGCUCAAAAUUAAGCCAGGAACGGUCCCAGUCUGCCAUUUCCUUCACAACAAUGCCAUGGUCUGGAUUCCAAAGUAAGAAUCAGCCUCAAGCCUCAAGCCCAGUUGCAUUAUCAGUUCCAUCUUAAAGCUGUUUGUAGUAUGAAUGGUUAGAAUAAAAAAUUAAAUAAAAAAAAACUUUAUUAAAUAAAUAAACUUUAGUUAUUUUAUUUUUAAUUAUAUUAAUUUAUUAAUUAAAAUAUAGACGCCCGGUUUCAUCAUAUUAAAAUAUAUUGGUAUGAUAUUUUAUUAAUAAGGCCACUAAUUUUAUAAAUUAAAUAUGAUGAACAACAUUUUGAGAAUCAAAGAUGUGCCUCCAUUUGGAAAUUUCACACGAGAUUUUGGGCAUGUCACCUAUUUUAUUCCCAAAGGGUUGACUAAGAAAAACAGUAGAGCAUGUCACCUAAUCACACGAGCUUAGUGAUUUCGGGACCCUCUUCUGACAAUAAAUGAGCCACUAUUUCAUUUAAAAACCCAUAACAAAGUGAUUUUGGCCCGAUCCCCACUUCGGUUCACACAUUGGAACCCUUGGUACAUCCGUUACAAAAUUUGGUACAUCCUUCACAAAAUUUGGUACAUCCUUCAAAAAAUUUAGUACAUCCUUCAUUAAAUUUGGUACAUCCGAUCUGACAGAUUCCGAGGCCCCCAUUUCAACAUGGAUGGUCCAUAAUUACUUUUAGAAACCCAUAACAAAGUGAUUUUGGACCGAUCCCCACUUUGGUUCACACAUUGGAACCCUUGGUACAUCAUUUACAAAAUUUGGUACAUCCUUCACAAAAUUUGGUACAUCCUUUACAAAAUUUAGUACACCCUUCAUUAAAUUUGGUACAUCCGAUCUGACAGAUUCCGAGGCCCCCAUUUCAACAUGGAUAGUCCAUAAUUACUUUUAGAAACCCAUAACAAAGUGAUUUGGGGCCGAUCCCAACUUCGCAACGCAUUUUUAGACCCUUCGUACAUCCUUAACAAACUUUGGUACAUCUGAGUUUAGUGAUUCCGAGGCCCUAUUCUGACCAUGGAUGAGCCACUAUUUCAUUUAAAAACCCAUAACAAAGUGAUUUGGGCCCGAUCCCCACUUCGGUUCACACUUUGGAACCCUUGGUACAUCCUUUAUAAAUUUGGUACAUCCUUAAAAAAAUUUGGUACAUCCUUCAUUAAAUUUGGUACAUCUGAUCUGACAGAUUCCGAGACCCUCAUUUCAAAAUGGAUGGUCCAUAAUUGCUUUUAGAAACCCAUAACAAUGUGAUUUGGGGCCGAUCCCCACUUCGGAACGCAUUUUUAGACCCUUCGUACAUCCUUAACAAAAUUUGGUACAUCCGAGCUUAGUGAUUCCGGGACCCUCUUCUGACCAUGGAUGAGCCACUAUUUCAUUUAAAAACCCAUAACAAAGUGAUUUGGGCCCGAUCCCCAUUUCGGUUCACACUUUGGAACCCUUGGUACAUCCUUUAUAUAUUUGGUACAUCCUUCAAAAAAUUUGGUACAUCCUUCAUUAAAUUUGGUACAUCUGAUCUGACAGAUUCCGAGACCCUCAUUUCAAAAUGGAUGGUCCAUAAUUGCUUUUAGAAACCCAUAACAAUGUGAUUUGGGGCCGAUCCCCACUUCGGAACGCAUUUUUAGACCCUUCGUACAUCCUUAACAAAAUUUGGUACAUCCGAGCUUAGUGAUUGCGGGACCCUAUUCUGACCAUGGAUGAGCCAUUAUUUCAUUUAAAAACCCAUAACAAAGUGAUUUGGGCCCGAUCCCCACUUCGGUUCACACAUUGGAACCCUUGGUACAUCCUUUACAAAAUUUGGUACAUCCUUCACAAAAUUUGGUACAUCCUUCACAAAAUUUGAUACAUCCUUCAUUAAAUUUGGUACAUCCGAUCCGACAGAUUCUGAGGCCCCCAUUUUAACAUGGAUGGUCCAUAAUUACUUUUAGAAACCCAUAACAAAGUGAUUUGGGGCCGAUCCCCAAUUCGGAACGCAUUUUUAGACCCUUGGUACAUCCUUAACAAAAUUUGGUACAUCCGAGCUUAGUGAUUCCGGGACCCUCUUCUGACCAUGGAUGAGCCACUAUUUCAUUUAAAAACCCAUAACAAAGUGAUUUGGGCCCGAUCCCCACUUCGGUUCACACUUUGGAACCCUUGGUACAUCCUUUACAAAAUUUGGUACAUCCUUCACAAAAUUUGGUACAUCCUUCAUUAAAUUUGGUACAUCUGAUCCGACAGAUUCCGAGACCCCCAUUUCAAAAUGGAUGGUCCAUAAUUUCUUUUAGAAGCCCAUAAAAAAGUGAUUUGGGGCCGAUCCCCACUUCGGAACGCAUUUUUAGACCCUUCGUAUAUCCUUAACAAAAUUUGGUACAUCCGAGCUUAGUGAUUCCGGGACCCUCUUCUGACCAUGGAUGAGCCACUAUUUCAUUUAAAAACCCAUAACAAAGUGAUUUGGGCCCGAUCUCCACUUCGGUUCACACAUUGGAAUUACAAAAUUUGGCACAUCCUUCACAGAAUUAGGCACAUCCUUCACAAAAUUAGGUACAUCCUUCAUUAGAUUUGGUACAUCCGAUCCGACAGAUUCUGAGGCCCCCAUUUUAACGGUCCAUAAUUACUUUUAGAAACCCAUACCAAAGUGAUUUNNNNNNNNNNNNNNNNNNNNNNNNNNNNNNNNNNNNNNNNNNNNNNNNNNNNNNNNNNNNNNNNNNNNNNNNNNNNNNNNNNNNNNNNNNNNNNNNNNNNAUUCCGGGACCCUCUUCUGACCAUGGAUGAGCCACUAUUUCAUUUAAAAACCCAUAACAAAGUGAUUUGGGCCCGAUCUCCACUUCGGUUCACACAUUGGAAUUACAAAAUUUGGUACAUCCUUCACAAAAUUUGGUACAUCCUUCACAAAAUUUGGUACAUCCUUCAUUAAAUUUGGUACAUCCGAUCCGAAAGAUUCUGAGGCCCCCAUUUUAACAUGGAUGGUCCAUAAUUACUUUUAGAAACCCAUAACAAAGUGAUUUGGGGCCGAUCCCCAAUUCGGAACGCAUUUUUAGACCCUUGGUACAUCCUUAACAAAAUUUGGUACAUCCGAGCUUAGUGAUUCCAGGACCCUCUUCUGACCAUGGAUGAGCCACUAUUUCAUUUAAAAACCCAUAACAAAGUGAUUUGGGCCCGAUCCCCACUUCGGUUCACACUUUGGAACCCUUGGUACAUCCUUUACAAAAUUUGGUACAUCCUUCACAAAAUUUGGUACAUCCUUCAUUAAAUUUGGUACAUCUGAUCCGACAGAUUCCGAGACCCCCAUUUCAAAAUGGAUGGUCCAUAAUUGCUUUUAGAAGCCCAUAAAAAAGUGAUUUGGGGCCGAUCCCCACUUCGGAACGCAUUUUUAGACCCUUCGUAUAUCCUUAACAAAAUUUGGUACAUCCGAGCUUAGUGAUUCCGGGACCCUCUUCUGACCAUGGAUUAGCCACUAUUUCAUUUAAAAACCCAUAACAAAGUGAUUUGGGCCCGAUCUCCACUUCGGUUCACACAUUGGAAUUACAAAAUUUGGUACAUCCUUCACAAAAUUUGGUACAUCCUUCACAAAAUUUGGUACAUCCUUCAUUAAAUUUGGUACAUCCGAUCCGACAGAUUCUGAGGCCCCCAUUUUAACAUGGAUGGUCCAUAAUUACUUUUAGAAACCCAUAACAAAGUGAUUUGGGGCCGAUCCCCAAUUCGGAACGCAUUUUUAGACCCUUGGUACAUCCUUAACAAAAUUUGGUACAUCCCAGCUUAGUGAUUCCGGGACCCUCUUCUGACCAUGGAUGAGCCACUAUUUCAUUUAAAAACCCAUAACAAAGUGAUUUGGGCCCGAUCCCCACUUCGGUUCACACUUUGGAACCCUUGGUACAUCCUUUACAAAAUUUGGUACAUUCUUCACAAAAUUUGGUACAUCCUUCAUUAAAUUUGGUAUAUCCGAUCCGACAGAUUCCAAGACUCCCAUUUCAACAUGGAUGGUCCAUAAUUGCUUUUAGAAACCCUUAACAAAGUGAUUUAGGGCCGAUCCCCACUUCGCAACGCAUUUUUAGACCCUUCGUACAUCCUUAACAAAAUUUGGUAUAUCCGAGCUUAGUGAUUCCGGGACCCUCUUCUGCCCAUGGAUGAGCCACUAUUUCAUUUGAAAACCCAUAACAAAGUGAUUUGGGCCCGAUCCCCACUUCGGUUCACACUUUGGAACCCUUGGUACAUCCUUUACAAAAUUUGGUAAAGCCUUCACAAAAUUUGGUACAUCCUUCAUUAAAUUUGGUACAUCCGAUCCAACAGAUUCCGAGACCCCCAUUUCAACAUUGAUGGUCCAUAAUUUAUUUUAGAAACCCAUAACAAAGUGAUUGGGAGUCGAUCCUCACUUAGAAAUGCAUUUUCAGACUCUCGGUACAUUCUUCACAAAAGUUGGUACAUUCUUCAUUAAAUUUGGUGCAUCCGAGCCUAGUGAUUUCGGGACCCCCUUUUGACCAUGGGUGAGCCACUAUUUCAUUUAGAAACCCAUAACAAAGUGAUUUGGGGCUGAUCCCCACUUCGGUUCGCACUUUGGAACUCUUGGUACAUCCUUAACAAAAUUUGGUACAUUUUUAAUUAAAUUUGGUACAUCCUUCAUUAAAUAUGGUACAUCGGAUCCGAUAGAUUCCGAGACCCCCAUUUCAACAUGGAUGGACCAUAAUUGCUUUUAGAAACCCAUAACAAAAUGAUUGGGUGUCGAUCCCCACUUCGUGACUCAUUUUUGGACCUUUAGUACAUCUUUCAUUAAAUUUGGUGCAUCGGAGCUUAAUGAUUCUGGGACCUUCUUCUGACCAUGGAUGAGCCACUAUUUCAUUUAAAAACCCAUAACAAAGUGAUUUGGGUCUGAUCCCCACUUCGGUUCACACUUUGGAACCCUUGGUACAUCCUUUACAAAAUUUGGUAAAUCCUUCACAAAAUUUGGUACAUCCUUCAUUAAAUUUGGUACAUCCGAUCCGACAGAUUCCGAGACCACCAUUUCAAUAUGGAUGGUCCAUAAUUUCUUUUAGAAACCCAUAACAAAGUGAUUUGGGACCGAUCCCCACUUCACAACGCAUUUUUGGACCCUUCGUACAUCCUUAACAAAAUUUGGUACAUCCGAGCUUAGUGAUUCCGGGACCCUCUUCUGCCCAUGGAUGAGCCACUAUUUCAUUUAAAAACCCAUAACAAAGUGAUUUGGGCUCGAUCCGCACUUCGGUUCACACUUUGGAACCCUUGGUACAUCGUUAAGAAAAUUUGGUACAUCCUUCACAAAAUUUGGUACAUCCUUCAUUAAAUUUGGUACAUCCGAUCCGACAGAUUCCGAGACCCCAUUUCAACAUGGAUGGUCCAUAAUUUCUUUUAGAAACCCAUAACAAAGUGAUUGGGAGUCGAUCCUCACUUCGAAAUGCAUUUUCGAACCCUCGGUACAUUCUUCAGAAAAUUUGGUACAUCCUUCAUUAAAUUUGGUACAUCCGAGCCUAGUGAUUUAGGGGACCCCCUUUUGACAAUGGAUGUGCCACUAUUUCAUUUAUAAACCCAUAACAAAGUGAUUUGGAGCCGAUCCCCACUUCGGAUCGCACUUUGGAACCCUUGGUACAUCCUUAACAAAAUUUGGUACAUUCUUAAUUAAAUUUGGUACAUCCUUCAUUAAAUUUGGUACAUCUGAUCCGAUAGAUUCCGAGACCCCCAUUUCAACAUGGAUGGUCCAUAUUUGCUUUUGGAAACCCAUAACAAAGUAAUUCGGGGUCCAUCCCCACUUCGUGACUCAUUUUCGGACCCUUAGUACAUCCUUCAUUAAAUUUGGUACAUCCGAGCUUAGUAAUUUCGGAACCCUCUUCUGACCAUGGAUGAGCCACUAUUUCAUUUAAAAACCCAUAACAAAGUGAUUUGGGUCUGAUCCCCACUUCGGUUCACACUUUGGAACCCUUGGUACAUCCUUUACAAUAUUUGGUACAUCCUUCAGAAAAUUUGGUACAUCCUUCACAAAAUUUGGUACAUCCUUCAUUAAAUUUGGUACAUCCGAUCCGAAAGAUUCCGAGGCCCCCAUUUCAACAUGGAUGGUCCAUAAUUACUUUUAGAAACCCAUAAACAAGUGAUUUGGGGCCGAUCCCCAAUUCGGAACGCAUUUUUAGACCCUUCGUACAUUCUUAACAAAAUUUGGUACAUACGAGCUUAGUGAUUCCGGGACCCUCUUCUGACCAUGGAUGAGCCACUAUUUCAUUUUAAAACCCAUAACAAAGUGAUUUGUCCCCGAUCCCCACUUCGAAUCACACUUUGGAACCCUUGGUACAUCAUUUACAAAAUUUGGUACAUCAUUCACAAAAUUUGGUACACCCUUCAUUAAAUUUGGUAUAUCCAAUCCGAUAGAUUCCGAGAGCCCCAUUUCAACAUGUAUGGUCCAUAAUUGCUUUUAGAAACCCAUAACAAACUAAUUUGGGGCCGAUCCCCACUUAAGAAACCAUUUGUAGACCCUUCGUACAUCCAUAACAAAAUUUGGUACAUCCGAGCUUAGUGAUUCCAGGACCCUCUUCUGACCAUGGAUGAGCCACUAUUUCAUUUAAAAACCCAUAAUAAAGUGAUUUGGGCCCGAUCCCCACUUCGAUUAACACUUUGGAACCCGUGGUACAUCCUUAACAAAAUUUGGUACAUCCUUCACAAAAUUUGGUACAUCCUUCAUUAAAUUUGGUACAUCCGAUCCAACAGAUUCCGAGACCCCCAUUUCAACAUGGAUGGUCCAUAAUUUCUUUUAGAAACCCAUAACAAAGUGAUUGGGAGUCGAUCCUCACUUCGAAAUGCAUUUUUGGAUCCUCGGUACAUUCUUCACAAAAUUUGGUACAUCCUUCAUUAAAUUUGGUACAUCCGAGCCUAGUGAUUUCGGGACACCCUUUUGACCAUGGGUGAGCCACUAUUUCAUUUAGAAACCCAUAACAAAGUGAUUUGGGGCCGAUCCCCACUUUGGAUCGCACUUUGGAACCCUUGGUAGAUCCUUAACAAAAUUUGGUACAUUCUUAAUUAAAUUUGGUACAUCCUUCAUUAAAUAUGGUACAUCUGAUCCGAUAGAUUCCGAGACCCCCAUUUCAACAUGGAUGGUCCAUAAUUUCUUUUAGAAACCCAUAACAAAGUGAUUGGGUGUCGAUCCCCACUUCGUGACUCAUUUUUGGACCCUUAGUACAUCUUUAAUUAAAUUUCGUACAUCCGAGCUUAGUGAUUCCGGGACCUUCUUCUGACCAUGGAUGAGCCACUAUAUCAUUUAAAAACCUAUAACAAAGUGAUUUGGGCCCGAUCCCCACUUCGGUUCACACUUUAGAACCCUUGGCACAUCCUUUACAAAAUUUGGUACAUCCUUCAGAAAAUUUGGUACAUUCUUCAUUAAAUUUGGUACAUCCGAUCCGACAGAUUCCGAGACCCCCAUUUCAACAUGGAUGGUCCAUAAUUGCUUUUAGAAACCCAUAACAAAGUGAUUUGGGCCCGAUCCCCACUUCGGUUCACACUUUGGAACCCUUGGUACAUCCUUUACAAAAUUUGGUACAUCCUUCACAAAAUUUGGUACAUCCUUCAUUAAAUUUGGUACAUCCGAUACGACAAAUUGCGAGACCCCCAUUUCAACAUGGAUGGUCCAUAAUUGCUUUUAGAAACCCAUUACAAAGUGAUUAUGGGCCGAUCCCCACUUCGGAACGCAUUUUUAGACCCUUCGUACAUCUUUAACAAAAUUUGGUACAUCCCAGCUUAGUGAUUCCGGGACCCUCUUCUGACCAUGGAUGAGCCACUAUUUCAUUUAAAAACCCAUAACAAAGUGAUUUGGGCCCGAUCCUUACUUCGGUUCACACUUUGGAACCCUUGGUACAUCCUUUACAAAAUUUGGUACAUCCUUCACAAAAUUUGGUACAUCCUUCAUUAAAUUUGGUACAUCCGAUCCAACAGAUUCCGAGACCCCCAUUUCAACAUGGAUGGUCCAUAAUUUAUUUUAGAAACCCAUAACAAAGUGAUUGGGAGUCGAUCCUCACUUAGAAAUGCAUUUUCAGACUCUCGGUACAUUCUUCACAAAAGUUGGUACAUUCUUCAUUAAAUUUGGUGCAUCCGAGCCUAGUGAUUUCGGGACCCCCUUUUGACCAUGGGUGAGCCACUAUUUCAUUUAGAAACCCAUAACAAAGUGAUUUGGGGCUGAUCCCCACUUCGGUUCGCACUUUGGAACUCUUGGUACAUCCUUAACAAAAUUUGGUACAUUUUUAAUUAAAUUUGGUACAUCCUUCAUUAAAUAUGGUACAUCGGAUCCGAUAGAUUCCGAGACCCCCAUUUCAACAUGGAUGGACCAUAAUUGCUUUUAGAAACCCAUAACAAAAUGAUUGGGUGUCGAUCCCCACUUCGUGACUCAUUUUUGGACCUUUAGUACAUCUUUCAUUAAAUUUGGUGCAUCGGAGCUUAAUGAUUCUGGGACCUUCUUCUGACCAUGGAUGAGCCACUAUUUCAUUUAAAAACCCAUAACAAAGUGAUUUGGGUCUGAUCCCCACUUCGGUUCACACUUUGGAACCCUUGGUACAUCCUUUACAAAAUUUGGUAUAUGCUUCACAAAAUUUGGUACAUCCUUCAUUAAAUUUGGUACAUCCGAUCCGACAGAUUCCGAGACCCCCAUUUCAACAUGGAUGGUCCAUAAUUGCAUUUAGAAACCCAUAACAAAGUGAUUUGGGGACGAUCCUCACUUCGGAACGCAUUUUUAGACCUUUCGUACAUCCUUAAUAAAAUUUGGUACAUCCGAGAUUAGUGAUUCCGAGACCCUCUUCUGACCAUGGAUGAGCCACUAUUUCAUUUAAAACCCCAUAAUAAAGUGAUUUGGGACCGAUCCCCACUUUGGAACCCUUGGUACAUCCUUAACAACAUUUGGUACACACUUCACAAAAUUUGGUACAUCCUUAAUUAAAUUUGGUACAUCCGAUCCAACAGAUUCCGAGACCCCCAUUUCAACAUGGAUGGUCCAUAAUUUCUUUUAGAAACCCAUAACAAAGUGAUUGGGAGUCGAUCCUCACUUCGAAAUGCAUUUUCGGACCCUCGGUACAUUCUUCACAACAUUUGGUACAUCCUUCAUUAAAUUUGGUACAUCCGAGCCUAGUGAUUUCGGGACCCCCUUUUGACCAUGGGCGAGCCACUAUUUCAUUUAGAAACCCAUAACAAAGUUAUUUGGGGCCAAUCCCCACUUUGGUUCGCAUUUUGGAACCCUUGGUACAUCCAUAACAAAAUUUGGUACAUUCUUAAUUAAAUUUGGUACAUCCUUCAUUAAAUUUGGUACAUCCGAUCCAACAGAUUUUGAGACCCCCAUUUCAACAUGGAUGGUCCAUCAUUGCUUUUAGAAACCCAUAACAAAGUUAUGUGGGCCCGAUCCCCACUUCGGAUCGCACUUUGGAACCAUUGGUACAUCCUUCACAAAAUUUGGUACAUCCUUAAUUAAAUUUGGUACAUCCUUCUUUAAAUUUGGUACAUGCGAUCCGAUGUAUUCCGACACGCCCAUUUCAACAUGGAUGGUCCAUAAUUGCUUUUAGAAACCCAUAACAAAGUGAUUUGGGGCUGAUCCCCACUUCUGAACGCAUUUUUAGACCCUUGGUACGUCCUUAACAACAUUUGGUACAUCCGAGCUUAGUGAUUCCGGGACCCUCUUCUGACCAUGGAUGAGCCACUAUUUGAUUUAAAAACCCAUAACAAAGUGAUUUGGGUCGGAUCCCCACUUCGGUUUACACUUUGGAACCAUUGGUACAUCAUUUAAAAAAUUUGGUACAUCAUUCACAAAAUUUGGUACAUCCUUCAUUAAAUUUGGUACAUCCGAUCCGACAGAUUCUGAGACCCCACUUUCAACAUGGAUGGUCCAUAAUUGCUUUUAGAAACCCAUAACAAAGUGAUUUAGGGCCGAUCCCCACUUCGGAACGCAUUUUUCGACCCUUUGUACAUCCUUAAUAAAAUUUGGUACAUCCGAGCUUAGUGAUUCGGGGACCCUCUUCUGACCAUGGAUGAACCACUAUUUCAUUUAAAAACCCAUAAUAAAGUGAUUAUGGCCCGAUCCCCACUUCGGUUCACACUUUGGAACCCUUGGUACAUCCUUAACAAAAUUUGGUACAUCCUUGACAAAAUUUGGUACAUCCUUCAUUAAAUUUGGUACAUCCGAUCCAACAGAUUCCGAGACCCCCAUUUCAACAUGGAUGGUCCAUAAUUUCUUUUAGAAACCCAUAACAAAGUGAUUGGGAGUCGAUCCUCACUUCGAAAUGCAUUUUCGGACCCUCGGUACAUUCUUCACAAAAUUUGGUACAUCCUUCAUUAAAUUUGGUACAUCCGAGCCUAGUGAUUUCGGGACACCCUUUUGACCAUGGGUGAGCCACUAUUUCAUUUAGAAACCCAUAACAAAGUGAUUUGGGGCUGAUCCCCACUUUGGAACGCACUUUUAAACCCUUGGUACAUCCUUAACAAAAUUUGGUACAUNNNNNNNNNNNNNNNNNNNNNNNNNNNNNNNNNNNNNNNNNNNNNNNNNNNNNNNNNNNNNNNNNNNNNNNNNNNNNNNNNNNNNNNNNNNNNNNNNNNNACAAAAUUUGGUACAUCCUUCACAAAAUUUGGUACAUCCAUCAUUAAAUUUGGUACAUCCGAUCCGACAGAUUCUGAGACCCCCAUUUCAACAUGGAUGGUCCAUAAUUGCUUUUAGAAACCCAUUACAGAGUGAUUUGGGGCCGAUCCCCACUUCGGAACGCAUUUUUAGACCCUUCGUACAUCUUUAACAAAAUUUGGUACAUCCCAGGUUAGUAAUUCCGGGACCCUCUUCUGACCAUGGAUGAGCCACUAUUUCAUUUAAAAACCCAUAACAAAGUGAUUUGGGCCCGAUCCUCACUUUGGUUCACACUUUGGAACCCUUGGUACAUCCUUUACAAAAUUUGGUACAUCCUUCAUAAAAUUUGGUACAUCCUUCAUUAAAUUUGGGACAUCCGAUCCGACAGAUUCUGAGACCCCCAUUUCAACAUGGAUGGUCCAUAAUUGCUUUUAGAAACCCAUAACAAAGUGAUUUGGGGCCGAUCCCCACUUCGGAACGCAUUUUUAGACCCUUCGUACAUCCUUAAUAAAAUUUGGUGCAUUCGAGCUUAGUGAUUCCGGGACCCUCUUCUGACCAUGGAUGAGCCACUAUUUCAUUUAAAAACCUAUAAUAAAGUGAUUUGGACCCGAUCCCCACUUCGGUUCACACUUUGGAACCCUUGGUACAUCCUUAACAAAAUUUCCUACAUCCUUCCCAAAAUUUGGUACAUCCUUCAUUAAAUUUGGUACAUCCGAUCCAACAGAUUCCGAGACCCCCAUUUCAACAUGGAUGAUUUAUAAUUUAUUUUAGAAACCCAUAACAAAGUGAUUGGGAGUCGAUCCUCACUUCGAAAUGCAUUUUCAGACCCUCGGUACAUUCUUCACAAAAUUUGGUACAUUCUUCAUUAAAUUUGGUGCAUCCGAGCCUAGUGAUUUCGGGACCCCCUUUUGACCAUGGGUGAGCCACUAUUUCAUUAAGAAACCCAUAACAAAGUGAUUUGGGGCUGAUCCCCACUUCGGUUCGCACUUUGGAACCCUUGGUACAUCCUUAACAAAAUUUGGUACAUUCUUAAUUAAAUUUGGUACAUCCUUCAUUAAAUAUGGUACAUCUGAUCCGAUAGAUUCCGAGACCCCCAUUUCAACAUGGAUGGUCCAUAAUUGCUUUUAGAAACCCAUAACAAAGUGAUUGGGUGUCGAUCCCCACUUCGUGACUCAUUUUUGGACCCUUAGUACAUCUUUCAUUAAAUUUGGUACAUCCGAGCUUAGUGAUUCCGGGACCUUCUUCUGACCAUGGAUGAGCCAUUAUUUCAUUUAAAAACCCAUAACAAAGUGAUUUGGGCCUGAUCCCCACUUCGGUUCACACUUUGGUACCCUUGGUACAUCCUUUACAAAAUUUGGUACAUGCUUCACAAAAUUUGGUACAUCCUUCAUUAAAUUUGGUACAUCCGAUCCGACAGAUUCCGAGACCCCCAUUUCAACAUGGAUGGUCCAUAAUUGCAUUUAGAAACCCAUAACAAAGUGAUUUGGGGCCGAUCCUCACUUCGGAACGCAUUUUUAGACCCUUCGUACAUCCUUAAUAAAAUUUGGUACAUCUGAGCUUAGUGAUUCCGGGACCCUCUUCUGACCAUGGAUGAGCCACUAUUUCAUUUGAAAACCAAUAACAAAGUGAUUUGGGCCCGAUCCCCACUUUGAUUCACACUUUGGAACCUUUGGUACAUCGUUAACAAAAUUUGGUACAUCUUUCACAAAAUUUGGUACAUCCUUCAUUAAAUUUGGUACAUCCGAUCCGACAGAUUCCGAGACCCCCAUUUCAACAUGGAUGAUCCAUAAUUUCUUUUAGAAACCCAUAACAAAGUGAUUGGGAGUCAAUCCUCACUUCGAAAUGCAUUUUCGGACACUCGGUACAUUCUUCACAAAAUUUGGUACAUCCUUCAUUAAAUUUGGUACAUCCGAGCCUAGUGAUUUUAGGACCCCCUUUUGACGAUGGAUGAGCCACUAUUUCAUUUAUAAACCCAUAACAAAGUGAUUUGGGGCCGAUCCCGACUUCGGAUCGCACUUUGGAACCCUUGGUACAUCCUUAACAAAAUUUGGUACAUUCUUAAUUAAAUUUGGUACAUCCUUCAUUAAAUUUAGUACAUCCGAUCCGAUAGAUUCCGAGACCCCCAUUUCAACAUGGAUGGUCCAUAAUUGCUUUUAGAAACCCAUAACAAAGUGAUUGGGGGUCGAUCCCGACUUCGUGACUCAUUUUCGGACCCUUAGUACAUCCUUCAUUAAAUUUGGUAUAUCCGAGUUUAGUGAUUCCGGGACCCUCUUCUGACCAUGGAUGAGCCACUAUUUCAUUUAAAAACCCAUAACAAAGUGAUUUGGGCCCGAUCCCACUUCGGUUCACACUUUGGAACCCUUGGUACAUCCUUUACAAAAUUUGGUACAUCCUUCACAAAAUUUGGUACAUCCUUUAUUAAAUUUGGUACAUCUGAUCCGACAGAUUCCGAGACCCCCAUUUCAACAUGGAUGGUCCAUAAUUGCUUUUAGAAACCCAUAACAAAGUGAUUUGGGGCCGAUCCCCACUUCGGAACGCAUUUUUAGAUCCUUGGUACAUCCUUAAUAAAAUUUGGUACAUUCGAGCUUAGUGAUUCCGAGACCCUCUUCUGACCAUGGAUGAGCCACUAUUUCAUUUAAAAACCCAUAACAAAGUGAUAUGGGCCCGAUCCUUACUUCGGUUCACACUUUGGAACCCUUGGUACAUCCUUAACAAAAUUUGGUACAUCCUUCACAAAAUUUAGUACAUCCGAUCCGAUAGAUUCCGAGACCAGUAUUUCAACAUGGAUGGUCCAUGAUUUCUUUAAGAAACCCAUAACAAAGUGAUUGGGAGUCGAUCCUCACUUCGAAACGUAUUUUCGGACCCUCGGUACAUUCUUCACAAAAUUUGGUACAUCCUUCAUUAAAUUUGGUACAUCCGAGCCUAGUGAUUUUGGGACGCCCUUUUGACCAUGGAUGAGCCACUAUUUAAUUUAGAAACCCAUAACAAAGUGAUAUGGGGCCGAUCCCUACUUCGGAUCGCACUUUGGAACCAUUGGUACAUCCUUCACAAAAUUUGGUACAUCCUUAAUUAAAUUUGAUACAUCCUUCAUUAAAUUUGGUACAUCUGAUCCGAUGUAUUCCGAGACCCCCAUUUCAACAUGGACGGUCCAUAAUUGCUUUUAGAAACCCAUAACAAAGUGAUUUGGGGCCGAUCCCCACUUCGGAACUCAUUUUUAGACCCUUGGUACAUCCUUAACAACAUUUGGUACAUCCGAGCUUAGUGAUUCCGGGACCCUCUUCUGACCAUGGAUGAGCCACUAUUUCAUUUAAAAACCCAUAACAAAGUGAUUUGGGCCCGAUCCCCACUUCGGUUCACACUUUGGAACCCUUGUACAUCCUUAAACAUUUUAUAGAAUUAUUAUCAAAUACAAUAUGAGAAUUAUUAUUAAAAACAUUUUUGACUUUUUUAAUACUUGAAAGAUAAAAAUUUUGAAAUAUUAAAAGUACUCCUUAAAGUCACAACCAAAUGGAUCUUUUGAAUAUAUUAAACAAUGAUUUUAAAAAACUCUUUUAACCUUAAAAACAUUUUAAAACAAAAUUAAGUGUUUGAAAAAUUUUAUCAAAUAUUUUUAAAAAUCUUAAAAAUUACUUAUAAUAUGAAAAAAUUAGAUUUUUUUUAAGAAACCUUUAUUAUUAAUUUCUCAUCCAUUUUUUUUGUUUUUGUUUUUGACAAGAAAUCAUUUCUAAGUACGGGGAUUCCCACACAUUUUCACAAUAUUUGAAUAAGGGAUUGGCAGUUAGCGUGGGUCCUAUAGUUGAUUGCUAUUUUAAGAUCGGCCCAUUAUCUUCCUCAAUUACUCCAUUUUAUAUUUUUCUAUUUUUGAAAGAAUCUUUACAGAUCUUCAAUAAUUAAUGAGAAGUACUAUCUUCCUCAUCCCAUUCCUCCCCCUCUCACUCUCUUUACGUCUUUAAAGUAAGUGGUAGGGUUGGCUUUUUUGAGUUAGAGUUGGUACAAUAAAAAGGGAAAUGGAAUUAUUGCCUUUUCAUCCAGAUGAGCAGCCACAAUCAUUUACUUCAAAAGAAUCAAAACAUCUCCCUUUUGCAGUGAAAGACAUGUGAAAUUCAUUGAGUUUGAAUUUCAAUAAAUUUGAAUUGAAUUUGAAUUUGAAUUUACCAAUUCAAGGUAAUGGGGCAGUCGUCAAAAGUGGAUUUUAAGACAAUAAGUUUGAAGAAGUUUAUGUUUGGGUAUCAAAAAAUUAAACCAAAAAUGGAAGGGAAGGAAAAAAAAAUAAUUUAAAAUUAAUAAAUUAUAUUUAUAUAUUUUUUUAAAAAGUAUUCUACUUAUUUUCUUUUAUUACAUAAAAAUAAAAAAUAAUUUAUAAAUUUAUAAAUUUUUAAUUAGUAAAAUGAUGCCUAUAAUUGCAAAACAACAUUGAUUAUAUUGUUACAAAUUUUGUAUUCAAAAUAAAAUUGGAUGUCAUUCAUGAGUUUGGUAGUGGUUUUAAAAUUUUUUUUUUUUAUAUUUAUAACAUAUGAAGAUUUUUAUUUUUUAAAUAUUCAAAAUAUUAAAAAUAUUUCAUAAAAUUAUUAUCAAACGGAUAGUGGUUGUGAAAAACGUUUUUAUCUUUUGUAAUAUUUAAAAGAUAAAUUUUUUGAAAUGUUAAAAAUAUUAAAAGUAUUUCGUACAAUCACUAUUAAACGAGUUAUUAGAGUGUGUUUGAGAGCCCAUUUGAUAGUAAUUUUAUGAAGCGCUUCUAACCCUUUUAACACUUGAAAUUUUUUAUCAUUCAAGUGUUAUAAAUACUAUAAACAUUUUAUAGAAUUAUUAUCAAAUACAAUAUGAGAAUUAUUAUUAAAAACAUUUUUGGUUUUUUUAAUACUUGAAAGAUAAAAAUUUUGAAAUAUUAAAAGCACUCCUUAAAAUCACAACCAAAUGGAUCUUUAGAAUAUAUUAAACAAUGAUUUUAAAAAACACUUUUAACCUUAAAAACAUUUUAAAACAAAAUUAAGUGUUUGAAAAAUUUUAUCAAAUAUUUUUAAAAAUCUUAAAAAUUACUUAUAAUAUUUUAUCAAUUAUUUUCUUAAUACUUUUUUCUUCUUUAUGGUAUUAAAUAUGAUCAUAAGAAAUAAAUUAUCAGUGCCGCCGACUGCAGAUAAUCUUCUCAAUUUUCUUAAAGCUAUGUUUAAAAAAUUGUAGAAGGAAAGAGUAAGCGAAAAAAAUAAAAUAAAAUUUAAAUUAAUAAAUUAUUUUAUAUGUGUCUUUAAAUUAAAUUAAUUUAUUUUUAUUUAUUAUAUAAGCAUUAAAUAAUUUUAAAAUAGAUAGUUUUUUUUAAUUAAUUUUAAUUAUAUUUGAUUUUUUUUUAUAAUGAAAUGAAAACCCUUUCUUUUAGUAUUUGUUUUUUUUCUUUAGUAUUUUUUAGAAACUAAAUAUAGCCUUAGGUUUUUUUAUUUAUUUAUUAAGUUUAUUUUUUUUUUAUUAACUAAAUUGAGCUCUUAAUUAAUAAUGAAAGCAUUUUCUUAAUAAUGAGCUCUUAAUAAUACCAAUAAAAAAAUUUCAUCCAAUUUAAAGUUGAAGGUAAUAUCUCGAAUGGUCAAAGUAAUACAUGUAUCGUUGAAAUAUAGUAUUUAUAUAUUCAAAAUUAAUACCUCAAUUGAAAAGUAUUCAAAAUCUUAAUUAUUUUCUAAAAAAUGUAUUAAAUUUAAAUUUUUUAAAAUUGGGUUUUUAUUUUCUGAUUUGUGCAAGAGCACACACUUUUCAUCUUUUUUUAUUUAUAUAUUUAUUUAUUAUUUUUUAUUUUAACUGUUGAAUAAGACUUAACAAGAGUGGAUGAAUGUCUAUCAGAUUCAGAUAAGGAUGAUGGCACAAGCCGACUAAAACGAAAGAGUUAAGCAUGUGAGUGCCACCAGGCCUGCAAGGAAUGGUAGGUCCCAAAAUAUCCAAGAAAUCUCUAUAUAUAGAAACCAAUACACUUCACGUCUUUCCAUGCGACUCGCAAGCUUCUUGUCUCAGUUGCAAACAGGUACAAAAAUGAUGCUGCAGUUGCCACAAACCACAAAUGAAGCUAUGUUAAAUAUUUAAAAUAUUGCAGUUCCAAAUGGGGUGUUCGGGAUAAAAUAUUUUAAUGUGAGAUCGAAUAACCUAAAAGAAAGGAUGUUGCCACUGAGUCUAGAGAAGUGAUCCUUCACAGCUUUGGGCAUGGGAGUAUGAGGCAAAACCAACUUCCAGUAACCCUCAUAAGGUAGAGAAGCAUGGCUUACUACCACCACCACCACCACCACUGAGUCAACUUGACGAGUGUUCUCACUCCAUCCUCUUCCCAUUCUGGCUUUUCUUUCGGUAAGUCCACAUCUUUUUCCUCUUCAUUUUUGUUAUGAAUAUUGUCAAUCAAAUAUUCUUUCAGUUGUGUUAUUGUUAUUAAUGCAACUUAAUUGCAGGUGGAGGUGGUAGAAAGCCAUGCUUCUCUACCUUCUGAAGGUUACUGGAAGUUGGUUUUGUCUAAUACUCCCAUGCCCAAAGNNNNNNNNNNNNNNNNNNNNNNNNNNNNNNNNNNNNNNNNNNNNNNNNNNNNNNNNNNNNNNNNNNNNNNNNNNNNNNNNNNNNNNNNNNNNNNNNNNNNCAAUCAAAUAAUGUUCAGAUAUGUUAUUGUUAUUAAUGCAACAUAAUUGCAGGAGGUGGUGGUAGUAAGCCAUGCUUCUCUACCUUCUGAAGGUUACUGGAAGUUGGUUUUGUCUCAUACUCCCAUGCCCAAAGCUGUGAAGGAUCACUUGCAGCCUGGUUUGUUUCAAUACAUCUCUAGACUCAGUGGCAACAUCCUUUCUUUUAGGUUAUUCAAUCUCACAUUAAGCUCAUAAUUUUUCUUUGUCAUUGCUGAAUUUGCAAAUUCAAGGCGUAACUUCUUUCAAUGCUUCUGCUGCCAGAUGUUUUGGGAUUCACAAUCAGUUCAACAAAAUCCCUCAACCAUUCCAUGCAAAGCAGGCUCAAGAUGGCUUAAAUAUAGGUAACUUCUUCUUGCAAACAGAUCUGCACCCAGGUACAAAAAUGAUGCUGCAGUUGCCACAAAGUACAAAUGAAGGUAUGUUCUUGCCUUGUCAAGUUGCUGACUCCAUAUCCUUUUCAUCUAAGAAGUUACCCAAAAUUUUGAACCGGCUUUCAGUGAAGGAAAAAUCUGCAGAAGCUGAGCUGAUGAAGAAGGAGAUAGAAGAGCUAGUGUGAGGAGGCUGCCAUGGAUGGAGAAUCUAGGUUCUGUGCAACAUCAUUAGAGUCCCUAAUCGAUUUCAGCACUUCAAAGCUCGGAAGAAAUGUGAAUGUGCUGACGAAUGAGGUCAAAACGGGAAGCCAAGAGUAUGAAUUUGGAGUGGGAAUGAAGAAGGUUGCAGACAAAUCAGUGGUGUGCCAUAAGAUGAACUACCCAUAUGCUGUUUUCUAUUGCCAUACCUUCACUAAGACACGAACUUACAUGAUUCCAUUGGUGGGUGCUGAUGGAAGCAAAGCUAAAGCCAUGGCAGCUUGUCACAGUGAUACAUCAGCUUGGCACCCACAGCAUGUGGCUUUCCAAGUGCUCAAAAUUAAGCCAGGAACGGUCGCAGUCUAUCAUUUCCUUCACAACAAUGCCAUGGUCUGGAUUCCAAAGUAAGAAUCAGCCUCAAGCCUCAAGCCCAGUUGCAUUAUCAGUUCCAUCUUAAAGCUGUUUGUAGUAUGAAUGGUUCGAAUAAAUGCAGGUUCGAGGAUUAAUGUGUGUAGUGUGCAAUUGAUGCUAUGUAUUCAUCAAUGUUUCCAGGUUGAUUAAUUAAGGAGUAUUAUGGUAUAUAUAUAUAUAUAUGUUGUGUGCAAUAGUCCUCAGCAAAGCAAUUAGCCAAUAUUUUUUUUUUAUAUUAAUUCCAAUCAUAUGAAAUAUUGGAAAUAACCUUCACUGUUUCAUAUAUGGCCGGAGAAAGAAUUGAAUAAGAUUAAUGUUGUUGUGCCCUGAAGCCAAACAAUACAUGUGUAAUAUGGGCCAUAAAUUUAAAAAUACACAAAUUUAUAAUUAAUUUUAAUAAUAUGUGAUAAACCCAUAUUCUUUAAUAUUUUUUUUAGAAUCAAACAUAACUUAAAUGAUUAUUACUACACCUACACAAGUGAGUGAAAAAACUCUUACAGACAAAACUAAAUACAGAGAAACAGUUUGGAGAUAAGGUUGCCAAUUGCCAACUUGCCAUCAAAGCCAUUGCAUCUUCUUUUAUUACAACAAAAAUAGAAAAACGUGACAUGUUUGUAGGAUGAGUCAUUAUCAAGGGUUUCCUCGUGACAAGAAAACAAAAGAGACUAAAAAACAAAACAAAAAAGCUUUGCUUCUGUGGCACUAUUUCAGUACCGAGUUCACGGGACCAUGUGCAGAGACUGAGCAAUCCUUCAAUUGCUCUCCAACUCCAACACCACCCAUCUGAGAUAAACCCCGGGAAUUUUCCGUAUGAGUUUCUCCAAAUUGGCCUGAUAAAAGGGCAUUUUCAUUUUCAUCUUUAGAAGGCAAAUUAAUCUCCAAUGUCAAAUUUCUUUUAACUGGGCCUUUUCCUGCUGAUGAACCACGAGCAGUGGAAUUAUCAUCCGGAGAAGUUACCAAAUAGUUGUCUAAGGUGCCCUUGCUACUGGGAGAACCAUCGACUGCUCUUUUUGAAUCUUUUUCGAUUCUUCCAGUCUUCAAACCAGGAGAUAGCAGUUUCCUUUUCUUUGAAGAAAAAAACUGCAUACAGAAACCAAUUACAGGCCAACAACGAAUGCAAAUUACUUCAAAUUUGAACAAGAAAGGCGAAAAUCUCUGUAACCCUACCACAUGAAAAUUUUCAUAAAAUUGCCUCAUCAAAAAUAGAAGAUUCGUUGCAUGUUUUACCAAGAACAAUGCAACAAAGAUGAAAUUUUGAAGAGAAAAUGAAUGCCGAAAGAGAUCUAUGGUUUUGGGAGAGAGUAUUGAUGAGAAAAAAAUUACCUGAUCGAUGCGAAUCCGAGGCCAUGAUAGAAGCGAAGUUUCAGGCGAUCUACGGAACCCUAGUUUUUGGCCCCGCACAUACAAGCUCGCAAAAGGAAGUCACUCAAGAGGUUUGAAUUUUCCGGAAUGACCGCCAACAAGUGCCAUGUGCACAGGAAAGGCAGAUGACAAUGGACCCAAACCCGGCCCAUUAAUCCCUGGGGCUCGGGCUGGCCCAAAUCUUUAGACGGCUGUAUUUUCCUUUACGAUUGAAAAAUACGACUAAUUCAAGACGUAACAAUAUAAAGGAAAACCUACAUAAAAAUCACCUUUGCAGGCACAGAGUAUUGGCCCAAAAGAAUCUAUUGCCGACCCAAUUCUUAGAUUAGCAAGCUGAAUUUCAUGUGAGUUUAAUUAACCUAAUUGGAGUUGGUCUAAUCUAAUCCGCAAUCUUACCUUGUUAUGAAUCAAAAUAUUAUAGGCAAGCCAACUAGGUAUAUCGUUAUCAAUCUUAAGACUACGUAUAUUUAGGGUUUAGAGUUUAUGAUUUAUAGUUUAUGGUUCACAAUAGACAAUUCAUGGUUAAUAAGUUAAUAACUAAUAGCAUGAUAAUUUUGAGAUUUAUGGUAAUAUAGUUUAGUGUGUUUUCUAGAUAUCUUGUAAUCAUCAUGUUCCAUUGUUGACAACCUUUCAUUGUUAACAACACAAUAUCUUUUUCAUCAAACUUUUUUGUUAGUAUAGGAACUCUAGGGUCAAGUUGAUUAUGGACAAGCUUAGUAACUCCUUGUCUAAUUGGUUGCAAUCACACGGACCACAUAGCUUUUUUUUAUAAGAAUCCUACUCACAAAGAGUAGUGCAAUGUCCAACUACCCUUGGCAAUGAAGUUAGUGAGGGUUAGAUGGAAAAAAAAAGGGAUGAUUAGAAAAGGAUUGGCUCUAGUAUUCCCUUUCUCCUAGGAAAUAAAGUGGAUGAGUUCAAGGUGGUUUUAUAGAUAGAAAUGAACAGGCUACUUAAUACUGUGGUUGAAGAUCUUUAUGUAGGAUAAUCUAAUCAUAGUUGUUCAGUUAUCUUUAUUUGGACCAUUAUGGUUUUUCAAGUGGCAUGUAAAUCUCUAUGCAAAGGGCACCAUUGGUUACUUAAAACUGGUAUGAUAUAUUAUGAUAGAAUCUUUAAAAGCAUGCCAUGAUAUAACAAAUGUAAAGUUUAUUAUUUAUUUAAUAAUAUCUCAAUUGAACUUUUUUAUAUCUUUGUUUUAUGCAUUAUACUUUAUGAGUAUCCUGACUUGCAUCUCUUUUAUGAGUAUCCUGACUUGCAUCUCUUGUAUCGUACAUAACUUAGGUGGAUUGGGAGUUGUAUAAAAAAAAUCCAAGUCAUGGGUUCCUUGCAAGUUGAUGAUUUGUUUACAAUUAAUUUGUGAACUUAGGCAAUCUAUUUGAGAUUGUAAUGCAUUACCUCUUAGUUGGAGAAAUAACUAGUCUUGGACAUCGAGAUAAGACUCUCAUGAUAAGUGCACUACUGUGUGCAGUUACACAUUAGACGAAAUCUACAGUGAAUCAUGAUGUAAGUUCACAGAAGUAUGAGAUAAUCAUGACUUCACCAAAUUGUUAUGAUACAUUGUCUCUUAACCUUAAGAGAAUAUUGAGUUUUUGCAUUCGUAGUGGCUUUGACCAACUAUUAAGAUCCUAAAGUGAUCAUAUAUUCCUUAUGAAUUGGGUUACUGUUGAUGAAAGCCAACAUCAACAAGUAUUAUUAAUAGAGGUACCAUGAUAUCUCAUGGACUUUGAGACAGUGUGUCCCCUUAGGUAGUUCUAAGAAAGUGUAUUUAGGUAAACUAUAAUCAUAGUAGUUUUUUAAGUAGAAUUUGAGAUAAACUCUUAGUGAGCUAGGACAUGUCAAUUGAUUACACAAUAGGAAAAUUUAUAACUCAAGAAUGGUAGAGGUGAUUUUGAGAGGCUAAUAGUUUUUACCUUACUAGAUUAUGAAUACUAAUUCAUGAGAAAACUAUGUAUAGUGGAGCAGGUUACGGAUAUGACUUAGUGUCUUGUUGUAAUAUACAUAGGACAUUGAAGUACAAUUGACUUUUUAUAGCGGGAUGUUGAGUCAUCUUCAAAAUUUGAUUAUGAGGGAGCUAGUAUUGUCCUAUAAGUCCCAUCGAUCCUUAUUUAAGCUCAUAUACCUCAAUGACUAUAUUUAUAAUGAUUGGAUUGAUUCUUGGUUCACUUAUAUACAUAAGGGUAUUUUGAUAACUAUGUAAGGUUAUAUAAGAAUAAGUGAAAGACAUUUCUAAAUUGUGACGAAAGGCUUCCCAUGUUUAGGAAUGAAUCUAUUGCAUUUGAAGAUUGAGAUAUUGUGGGAUAUUGAGUUGGAAAGAUGGACGAAUCAAGAAUUUGUAAUCAAUUUUACUUCAUAAAUUGAGAAUGACAUAUUAAUUCUCACUUGCCGUGUGUUGAAAUUAGUUUUAAAUAGCAUAUAAAGGUAAUUUAUUGUAUUUAAAUUUAUUUUUCAUAUUUUUUUCUUCUUUAUUUUUUUUAUUUGUAUUUUGUCUAAUUUUUUAAAUCAAUUUAUUAUUUUUAUUUUUAAUUAAUGAAUUAAUUAAUUAAUUAAUUAAUUAAUUAUUCUUGAAAUAAGUGAUGGUCCUUUCAUGUUAUCCAUUAUUGUGAUCACAAGUUCUCUUGUGUCCUCAAUCAAUAUUUUUUUAAUCAAAAUAUUUGUAAAAAUGUUAGUAAUGAAUUACUUAAAAAAUUAAGUGUUAUAAUAAUUAUUUAAAAAAUAUAACUAUGUUUUGUUCUUAGAAUAUAUUAAAUAAAAAAAUACUGAAAAAAAUGAUUUUCUCAUAUUUGAUUUUCUUACAAAAAAAAUAUGAAAAUAUAAAAUAUUAUUAAAAUUAGUUUUCAAAUUAUUUAAUUUUUAUAUGAAAGACUUAUAAAAUAAAUUUGAAAACGUGUAUUAAAAUAAUUUAUUAAUUAUAUAUAUAUAUAUAUAUAUAUAUAUAUAUAUUUUUAUCUUCUUUCGUUUUUUUUCUUUUUCUUUUAUUUACUUUUCCUCUUUAUUUGAAAAAGUGUAUAAAAAAUGAAGUAUUCAUUUUUUAUUUUAUUUUAUUUUUUACUAUUUUAAGUUUUAAAAUUUUAAAAUCAAUUUUAAAUAUUUUAAAUAUAUAAUGUAUACUUUUUGUAUAAAAAGUUUUAAUUUUUAUACAAAAUUUGAUUAUUUUAUAAUUUAAAAACAAAAAUAGGAAAGAUAUCCUAGGACACUUAUUAUGUUAAUUUUUAAAUAAAAAUAUAAACAUGGAAUUAUCGUCUAUAGAUUUUGUUACUUUUAGUUUUUAGUUUUUUUCAAAGUAAAUAGACUAGAAAUGAUUCAUUGAACCCUACUAUCGAUGCCCAUCAUUCCAUCCAUGCCAGAGUGGCCGUGAAAUAAAUUCUUGGUGCCGCCGGACAUCAACAAUCAUGACACUUAAUUUAAUUUGUUAGGUUUUUGUCAAUUUUCAUGAUCACUUUCGCUAGUUUAACAAGGGUCUCCAAAAAGCCCGCGGCCCACGGCCCGGCCCGACCUGAGCCCAUUUCUGGAUGGGAUGAGCCAUGGGCCCAAAUUUAGGCCUAGCCCGGCCCAGUGGGCUGGCCCGCCCGUAGGCCCGCCACUUAAAAUAUAUAUAUAUAUAUAUAUAUAUUCAAGAAAUAGAAAAUGCUACAUUAAUAAAAAUAUUUAUUGCUAACUAUUUUAUUCAUUGAAUGUAUACAUUACAUUUGAAAAUGUGGGAAAAGUUUACAUCACUACAAAAUAAAUACAUCUCAACUAGGUUGACACUUACUUAUUUGUCAAUCAUUUGUACUUUUCAACCAUAAAAAUAAAAAUAAAAAUAUGACAUACAUUUAGUAAAAUAUUUUAAUCAUUAUCUCUUGGCGAUGAUGGCGAACUAUCGCAAAUCCAUGAAGAUCUUGAAGAUUUUAGUUUUUCUAUAUCGACAAACAUAUUUUCUUCUUGAAUAGAAUCAAAUAUCCUUUUAUCUGCUAUUGCCUAGUCUUUCCCACAUAUAUUUGCUUCAAUAGAAUCCGACACUAAGCUGCAUCGUUUAUCACUAACUACUCUUCCACCUGUACUAAAAGUAGCUUCUGAUGCAAUUGUACUCACAGGAACUGUUAGUACAUCACGAGCAAUGAUAGAAAGUACAGAAUAUUUGUGUUGUUGUGAUUUCCACCAUAUUAAAAUAUCAAAAUCUUCAUCAUCUUCAAAUGAAAUUAAAUCAAUAUUAAGAUAUCUAUCUAAAUCAGUUGUGUUGUUUGGAGAACUAUUUGUUGUCUUCUUUCGACUUUUUAACAUUUCUAGAGCUCCUUUAUAAAAAGAUGAAGAGCUUGUAGAUGUAGGUGGUAAUUUAAUAGAACUAAUAUCAUCACCAUAUUUUUCUUUAUAAUAGUUAUAUAAAUUAUAUAAUAAUGAAUUUAUUUCAUUUUUAAUUUCUUCAAUUUUUAUUUGGUCAUUAAAAUAAAUAAUUGUUAACCAUUCAUUCAAAGCUUCAAAUUUCAAUCUAGGGUCCGCAAUUAAACCAAGAUAAAAAAUUAAAGGUAUUUCUCCCCAGUAUUUUCUAAAUUUUUCUAUCAUUGCAAAUAUUGCAUCAUUAAAUAUAUCCAAAUUUAAAUAUUUUGAAGUACAAUAAAAAUAUUAGUUAUUUGCAUGACAACUCGGUUUGAAGAUGGAUGAUAUACACUACAAAAAUUUGGUGGCUAGUUACACAAAAAAGGGUCAGCUCAAUUGGUGGCUAGCUCUUCUUGAAUGCUUAUGGAUUCAUAAGGGAAAGGGUUCGAAUCCCCUUCCCUUCAAAACUUAAAAGUAUUUUAAUUUUUACCCAAUACCCACCCAAGCCCGCCCAGCCCGUCCAGCUUGAGGGCCCAUAGGCUGGGCCACGGGCCUUAGAUUUACCAAGGGCCCGGCCCGACCAGCCCGUUGACCAGUCAACGGGCUCAGUGGCCCGCCCGGGUUGGGCCAUGGGCCUUACUCCUCCGGGCUGGCCAGCCCGGUCCGGCCCGUUGGAGACCCUCAGUUUUCAUUUUGACGUAAAUUUGAUGAUUAAGAUAGAAAUUUAACAUUGGGAAAAAUAGCCAUUAAAGAAUUAUUUGAAAAACAUUUUUUCCAAUUUUUUUAUUGAAUAAAAUGUUAUCAAAAUCAUUGCAAAAAAUGUUUUUCAUUAAUAUCAAAUAUUAAUUAAUUAAUUAAUUUUUUAAUAUGAUAAUAUUGUAUGAAAAUGACAUACUCUAAUACUUCAAUAUAGUGUGGUGAUAUAUUUUUUCUUCUUCUGAUUAAGAUUUUAUCAUUUUUGGACAAGUUUCACUUCUUUUCCAAUACUCCAAUACUCUCAAACUAAUCGGAUGCUUCAACCCUAUAAGAUUAGGGGAGAGGAUGACCCUCGACAUCCUUUGUGUAACACAAUAAAACUAAUUCAAGUUCAUAAUAUGAUAUUUUAUAUAUUAUUUUUAUAAAUAUUUGAAGAUAAUAUUUGAGAAUGUAAGUUUAGUAAAUUAUGUACAUACGGUGUGAAAUUAAAAGGAUAUUAUUUUCAUUCUUAAACAAAUAGAUACUUUAUAAAACAUAAAUUGACUGCUUUGUUGUUUUUACUCGUGAAAGUAAGACCAGCCAAGCAGUGGUGGUUGAGGGGUCACAUGAUUGGUGAUAAAAUUGUUUAUAUCCACAUUUACAAAAACCUAUUCUUGAGAAGGGAUCUUCAGGACACUCAUGUGCUAGUUUAAUUAUCUCGUUGUAAUGGAACUUACAUGAAUAAAUGAACUUGGUGGCAUGCAUGCAGGUGAUGGUGGUAGUAAUCCAUGCCUCUCUACCUGCUGAGGAUUACUGGAAGUUGGCUUUGCCUCGCACUCCCAUGCCUAAAGCUAUACUAGAUCUGUUGCAGUCCAGUUAGUUUCAUUAAAUCUCUACCCUCCUCUUCUGCAACAUCUUUUACUGAUUCUAAUUAUGGUCUCCUAUCAUAGAAUUAAACUGCAGAGUAAAGAUUGUUCUUUAUAACUAUUUGCUUUAUUUCUUGAAAAUUAUUUGUCUAGACUAACAUUUCUAACUCUUCUUUGUAAUUGCUGUACUUGCAAAUUCAACAGAAGGUCUAAGUUCUGUCGAUGCUUCUACUGCCUCUUGUACUAUUCACAUCCACUUCGAUAAAUUCUCUCAACCCGCGGGAGAAGAGGCUCAAGUAGAUGACUCAAAAAUAGGUAACUUCUUGGAAACAGACCUGCAUCCAGGUAAAAAAUGAAGAUGAACUUGGCCACAACUACAAAUGGAGCUGUUUUCUUGCCUCAUCAAGUUGCUGAAUCCAUACCCUUUUCAUCCAACAAGCUACCUGAAAUCUUGAACCGGUUUUCCCUGAAAGAAAAAUCCACAGAAGCCGAGAUAAUAAAGGAGCUAGAGGAAUGCGAGGAGCCUGCCAUGGAAGGAGAAGCAAAGUACUGUACAACAUCAUUAGAGUCCCUAAUCGAUUUCAGCACUUCAAAGCUUGGAAGAAAUGUGAAUGUGCAGGCGAAUGAGGUCAAAACGGGGAGCCAGGAGUAUGAGUUUGGAGUGGGAAUGGAGAAGCUUGCCGACAAAUCAGUGGUGUGCUAUAAGAUGAACUACCCAUAUGCUGUUUUCUACUGCCAUACAUUCACUAAGACACGGACUUACAUGAUUCCGUUGGUGGGUGCUGAUGGAAGCAAAGCUAAAGCCAUGUCAGCUUGUCAUAGUGACAGAUCAGCUUGGCACCCAAAACAUGUGGCCUUCAAAGUGCUCAAUGUUAAGCCAGGAACAGUCCCUGUCUGCCAUUUCGUUCACAACAAUGCCAUGGUCUGGAUUCCAAAAUAGCCUGAUGAUGAAAUCAACGGAAAUAUUUAAUCCUCAACCACAGUUGCAUUGUUCCACGUAAUAGUCGUUUCUAGUAUCAAUGGUGUGGUUUGAACAAAUGCAGGUUAAUUUGAGAAGAAUGUAGUGUGGAAUGCUAUUCAUCAAUCUUUCCCGGUUGAUUAAAGGAAUAUUGUAUAUAUUGUUGUGUGGCAUAAUAUUCAGUAAUUAAUGAAUCACUAUGAAUUAUCCUAGUGUAUAUAUUGUAGUUUAUCCUAGUGUAUAUAUUGUAGUUGUGCAAAUGAUCCUAUUUAUAUUUUUAAAAAUUAAUUUUAAAAUUUGAAUUAGUAAUUUUUUUAAAUCUUAAUUUUUAAAAUGAUUUCAACCCUUUUAACCAAAUAUUUUAUGUUAAAAAUUAUUAUUAGUAUAUAUAUAUAUAUAUAUAUUAGAAAUCCCUAUUUUACUUUAACAAAUAUCUUAUCAGGCUUUUUUUAACUUACACAUCUAGUUCAAAAAAUAAUUAUUAAAAAAUGGUAGUUUGGAAAAAAAAAAAUUUAAAAUAUGAUAGUUACAAAACUAUUAAUAAAUUUUGAAUACUUUUUGUUCAUUUAUGACAUUUUUCAUAAUUUCAUAAAAUUAAAUUUAUGUUGAAGGUGUCUCUUCAAAAGACACUUUUUUCAUAAUUUUUUUAUUAGUUAUACACGUUAAAAACAAAUUGAAGUUAUACUAAAAAAUAUAAUUUCCACAAUGUCAUAGAAUCAAAUUUAUACCAAAGGUGUCUCUUGAAGAGAUAUCUUCCACAAUUUUCAUAUUAGCCAUAUAGUGAAAAAAAAAACUGUAUUUAAGUUUAAGGCAUAGAUCUCUAUAAUUUCACAAAAUUGAAUUUACACUAAGGCGAUGUUUGUUUUUUUCACUUUUUGCUAAAAGUAAUUUGCUUUCAAAAUUUAAGUUUUUUUUUUUUCUAGUUUUUGAUGACUUAUUAUUGAAUUUUCAAUUUUUUUUGGUUAAAUAGAAAAAACAAACUUUUUAAACCUCCCCAAAUCACGAUUGCAACCCGACACCUGACGCCCAACCCUAGCCCAUCCCUUGUAGCUCUCUAGUCUUAAUUGCAAUCGGCGAUCCCCAACCCUCACCUCAUCAUUGUGUAGCUCAUUGGUUCCACGACCAUCACCAAGCUUUCUUAAGGUAAUUUCUUCCCCAUUUUCUCUCUAUUUAGGUUUCAGCUUUCGUUCUUCCUCUUUCUCAGCAAUGGGGUUAAACCAUAGGUAGAAUGGUUGUUUUAUGUUUGGAAAUGGUUUAUUAAUAUAUUCUUUAGUACGAUUCUUUAUGAUUCUCAUGCCAAUGGUUUAUUUUGAAGUUUUGUGGGCAAUUUUGACUUUGUGGGAGUGGGUUUGAUGAGUUUACAGGUUCAAUGAAUUUUGUAGAGAUGCUCAUGGGUUUUUUGGAUACAUUUGUGUGAUUCGAUUUUGACUUUGAGGAACCAUUUGUGUGAUUUUGUGGGCCAUUUUUUGCCUGCUUGGGUUGUUUUUUGUUGCCUUUGUAUAGUGUCAUUCACUUGUCUAAUGUGCAGAGUGAAGCUUUGUCAUUCACUUGUACUUGGUUGUUGGAGGAAAUAAUAAUAUCAAAAUAAGAAUUGUUAACCAAUUUUUAAACAAUAAUAUGCAUUUUCUGAAUGUAUGUUAUUGCUUGAUUUGACUCCGUGUUCUUGUUUCCUGUUGUUUUGCAUUGAAAUUACUUCCUUCCUUUGAAAACCUUCUGCCAGAUAAACAGGACUAUAAAAGAAUCACAUAGAGAGAGUUUGACAAAUUUUGCAAUCUCAAAACAUCUUGGAUUUUCCAAUUUCAUAAGAGAGUGAUAAUUUCUAUGGGAUAACCAAGUUACAAAAAAGUACGGUUCUUAUAUCAAAUGAACAACAAAAAUGAACAAACUCAUUCCUCACCAGAAUCCUUCCGUGGUUGGAGGCCACCAAUCUCGAAAACCCUAGAAGUUUAUGACAUGGGGGAUGAAUUAGAAUCCAUAUUGAAGAGGGCUUAUUUUUACAAGUGCAGAUGCUGAUCCACUCUUUUUUUUUUUUUUUUGUAAUAAAUAACUUCACAAUUUUUAAUUUUAAGCUUCUAUCCUUUGCCUUCAAUCUUCAAUCUCUGCUAUUGUAUUAAUGGCCCUGGGAGCUGCCUAAGAAAAAUGAAAAAAAUGGACCAACCAAACUCAAAGAUGACAAUAGUUUGGUGGCUGCCCUUGAAGAAGAUCCACAGAAGAAUGGACAGUUCAGAAAGGGGAAGAGGGUCAGAAAACACACUACUUUGGGAAGAGAGAGUGAAUUGAAUUGGUUGUUCUUGUACAUGAUCAGAGAUGUUUAAUUGGCCUGGAUAAAAAAACAUAUAUCUCUCAUUAAUAAGAUAUAUAUGUAGCAUAGUCAGGCUUAAAAUUGAAUGCCAUUAACUAUGACAAAGACUGCCAUACACAAUUGUGCAUGGCACAUGCACAUCCCAUCAGCAUCCUAUGCUUCUUAUGGAUCAAAGGUGAAUUUGCUUUUAGUGCAGACUAGACAUGUAAUGUGAUUUUGUUAUCUGAUGGGAUUCUUGGUGUUACCGUAUCUAUGGUUAUAGAAAAUAGCAUUAUUAAACUGGUGGUUGUCUUAGGGAUUGUUAACUUCUUGAGGUUGCUUAUAGAAGAAAAGAUUAUUCUAAAGCAACUAAAGUGAAUAUUGUGUUUGCCAGACAAUUGUUUAUUCUUUCUGUUAACAUUUAGGGCAUUGGAUGGAUUAUCUCUGUUAGAACCUUGCAAGAUAUUGUGAGUACUUUUUUCUGCUUAUAGUUGAAGCCUUUGUUAGUGUUGAAAGCCAGCUGGCUAGUUGCUUCCUUUCUUGAAUUCAAGAAAGAAUUUUUUUGCCACCACCAAAAGAAAAAGUAAAGGUAAAUAAAAAAAUUUAUUUAUUUUUGUAUGUUUUUUUUUUUUUUUAAAUUUUGACUUAUUUUUACCUAUGAAAUUUAAAUAAUUUAAAAAUAAAUAAAAUUUAAACUAAUUUUAAUUAUAUUUGAUUUUAAUUUUUUUUUUUAUAAUGAAAGAGAAAACCAUUUUUUCAGCAUUUGUUUAAGUAGUUCCCAAAAUAUCCAAGAAAUCUCUAUAUAUAGAAACCAACACACUUCACUGCUUUCCAUGCAACUUGCAAGCUUCUUGUCUCAAUUUCUGAGUUUCUGAGCUUUUACCAUUAAUGGAGUUCCUUCGUCCUCUUCCCAUUCUGGCUUUUCUUUCAGUAAGUCCACAUCUUUUUCCUCUUCAUUUUUGUUAUGAAUAUUGUCAAUCAAAUAUUCUUUCAGUUGUGUUAUUGUGAUUAAUGCAACUGAAUUGCAGGUGGUGGUGGUAGUAAGCCAUGCUUCUCUACCUUCUGAGGGUUACUGGAAGUUGGUUUUGCCUCACACUCCCAUGCCCAAAGCUGUGAAGGAUCACUUGCAGCCUGGUUGGUUUCAAUACAUCUCUAGACUCAGUUGCAACAUCCUUUCUUUUAGGUUAUUCGAUCUUACAUUAAGCUUAUAAUUUUUCUUUGUCAUUGCUAAAUUUGCAAAUUCAAGGUGUAACUUCUUUCAAUGCUUCUGCUGCUGCUUUUUGUUUGGGGAUUUACUAUGGGUUCAACAAAAUCCCUCAACCAUUCCAUGCAAAGCAGGCCCAAGAUGGCUUAAAUAUAGGUAACUUCUUCUUGCAAACAGAUCUGCACCCAGGUACAAAAAUGGUGCUGCAGUUGCCACAAACUACAAAUGAAGCUAUGUUCUUGCCUCGUCAAGUUGCUGACUCCAUACCUUUUUCAUCUAAGAAGCUACCCGAAAUUUUGAACCGGCUUUCAGUGAAGGAAAAAUCUGCAGAAGCUGAGCUGAUGAAGAAGGAGAUAGAAAAGUGUGAGGAGCCUGCCAUGGAUGGAGAAUCUAGGUUCUGUGCAACAUCAUUAGAGUCCCUAAUCGAUUUUAGCACUUCAAAGCUCGGAAGAAAUGUGAAUGUGCUGACGAAUGAGGUUAGAAUGGGAAGCCAAGAGUUUGAAUUUGGAGUGAGAAUGAAGAAGGUUGCAGACAAAUCAGUGGUGUGCCAUAAGAUGAACUACCCAUAUGCUGUUUUCUACUGCCAUACAUUCGCUAAGACACGGACUUACAUGAUUCCAUUGGUGGGUGAUGAUGGAAGCAAAGCUAAAGCCAUGGCAGCUUGUCACAGUGAUACGUCAGCUUGGCACCCACAGCAUGUGGCCUUCCAAGUGCUCAAAAUUAAGCCAGGAACGGUCCCUAUCUGUCAUUUCCUUCACAACAAUGCCAUGGUCUGGAUUCCAAAGUAAGGGAUAAGCUGAAAGC